CGACAGCUGUGGCAUUUGGGAAUGGCGAGGAAACCGUUACCAUUACUGAGUUUAGUAAUGGUAAUGGUUCUCUUGCUGCUCCCACAAACUAUGCCAAGAAGA
rnacentral:precursor_RNA from 14 species